GACGAACACUGGCGGCGUGCCUAACACAUGCAAGUCGAACGGAAGUAAGAGCUUCGGUUUUUACUUUAGUGGCGAACGGGUGAGUAACGCGUGAGGAACCUGCCUUUCAGUGGGGGACAACAGUUGGAAACGACUGCUAAUACCGCAUAAGACCACAGGAAGGCAUCUUCAAGGGGUCAAAGGAGUUAAAUCUGGUAAUAGAGGGGCUUGCGUCUCAUUAGAUAGUUGGUGGGGUAAAGGCCUACCAAGUCGACGAUGAGUAGCCGAUCUGAGAGGAUGAACGGCCACACUGGAACUGAGAAACGGUCCAG
rnacentral:rRNA from 1 species